UAAGCCCACACAGAAAACCAGCCAUUAAUCUGCAGUUUAUCUCUCUCUUAUUGCUCCUGGCUUUAUCCAUCUGUGUCCCUCAGACAAAGCAUUUUGCAACCCUUGCCCAGCACUUGUCCAUCAGUAUUCUCCAGACAAAGAAUUUCUCAACCCUGGUCAAGGACUUGUUCAUCUGUGUCCCCAGCAAGCUUUGAGGCAGUGGCAUAAAAUAAUAAUCUCUUAGACCAUUGGUGACAGUGGCAGCAGGGCGUCCCCAGCCUCCAGGAGCAGCCAUCUCCCACAGAGCGUGAUGUGAGGUCUGCAAGCACAACGUGCUGGUGAGGAGUAGAUGAUCAAACCCUUUCAUGUACGUUUUCCAGGUCUGGAUCUCCAGGUGGUGCAUGUUGCUGCAGCCCUGUUCAGAUCAGCACAGCAACACUAAUCGAAGCCAGGUCUCAGAUGGAGAGGAACAGUCAUGUCAGACGUGUGCUGUGUCAGUAACAGAUGGGAGAAAGAAGAACCAAGACCCCAAACUGUCAGGAUUGCUACCGAAUCCACGCACAAAUGUACUGGCAGAGGUUAUGUUCAUUUCAAGACUGGUGCUGAUGGUGCACCAUAGAAACUACAGAAACUGAGAGAGCUGAAGGAGGACGACAAACCUUGUGGAGUUUGAGACUAGAGUGAAACCCCAUGAAGUUCCCUUUAAUGGUAGGAAAGUGAAACACUAAUACUUCGAUGCUGUAGUAACUAACGAGCAGCUGAGAUUUUCAUAAAAUCCACAAGCGUUUAAGAACAAAUUUAAUUACAGCCCAGCAUUGAAAUUCAUGUCAGUAUAACCUCCCCUAAUUGCCCAAACUUACUGAUUGCCUUCAUUUAUUCUUCGUGGCAAGUUACUCUUGAGACUGUAAGAUACGGUCCUUGGAUAUAUACAGCAUUAGUGACUGAAGACUGAUACACUGCAGCAAAAUGAUGCUAUUUAAACCUGCAGAACUAAUUUCACACAUACACACACCACAUCAAUCUUUGUUUUUUAACCACUUUAAAAAGUAACUCGCUUCUGUACUGGGGAAAAUAUUAGUCAUCAUCAUGGCUUUUAGCAACACUGAAAGAAAAGGACAACAAAAAAAUUAGCAUCGCGCCACGAGCCAUCCACAGCCUACUUUUGCUCGAAUGGCAUCCUAAAUGUGCCCCAGGAGGCAGCAGGAAAACGUGAAGUUGCCUCAGUGAUGCCAUUUACAGGAGCAGAUCGCUACCUCAGAGAGUGCAAGUCCAGAUGAAGCUCACAUAGCUAACCUGAGGAGAGCAAAAGAGAUCAAUAGGAUCAGCUUUCACCUGUGCUUUCAGCAUGAGAGCUUACAGGAAAUUAAGUGGAAUUUAAUGUAACGGCAUAAUAUCAUACGGAUAUUUAAUUGCAUGGUAAUAUAAGACAUAAAGCAUUCCCCAAAGUUUAUCCUGCUAGUUAAUUUGGUUAAUUAGAUAUUUAGCACUUGCUCCCCCAUCUCCCAUUUCCUCAUCUCUGAAAGAAAUGUUGAUCAAUUUGUUCAUUAUUGGCUCCUGCUAUGGAAUAAUUCACUCUCCUUUGUCAGUAUAUCAUAGCAUAUGUCUAGAAAGGAAAGAAGCGAAAUAAAAGAUCGAAAACACAAAGAGAGGAUUUUAAA
rnacentral:lncRNA from 1 species